rnacentral:lncRNA from 1 species
CCGCCGCGAUCCCUGCGCACCACGGCCCUGCCCGCCACGGGGCGAGCCCGAUAAGAGGGCUGUGGACGUUCGGGUCUAGUUGGGAGAGACAGGGGUCCCUGACUCUUGAGCGGUCAGUCAUUUCCUCCCCAGUCCUUGUGGGUGACGUGGCUACGGUUUGGAGCAGCAAGCCCCCUCCCCGAACUAAAGGGCCUCUCCAAAGGUUAAGCCAGGGCAGUCAUUGAGGUCAAAACCAAUAUGUAGUUUCUUGACUGCAGGUGCCUGCACGACUCCCAGAAAGUCGCGUCUCCCCUAACCCCCAUGCCCAGGACCUGAGGACAAAGGUCUAGCGAUUGUCCAUCCCCUCCCCCAGUGAGGACAGCCGGGAAAGACCUGCCUUUGUUGUGUACAGGUGGUAUCUCACUGUGUUAUCCAGACUGGACUCAAAUUUCUGGGCUCCAAUGGUCCUCUCACCUCAGCCUCCCAAGUAGUCAGGACUACAGAACUCCAUGGCAAUGUUUUGAGGAUUAAAGAGGAGAGUGAUGACUAUCCAAACGUCAGAGAACGCAACUAUGAGACUAGAGACACUGGAAAACUAAAAAAGUAACGGGCCUUUGCUGACUCAGGGAGAUGAUUUCCCAAGAGGGAAGAAAACUGGAACCUGAGAAAUAAGUGAUUUAGUAAUGUGGCUGCUAAAAUACGGAAAAACUAGAAUGAAUGGCUUACACAUUUUUGAAAUGAAGUUAGAAGAGGGUUAUACUGUGAAGAAGAAUGAAAAAGCCAAACAUUUCAUUCAGUGUUGCUGUCCUCAUUUUACAGAUGAAGAAACUGAGGCCCCAGAUCACAGGGCUGGUGAGAAGAACGUGAUAUCUCCAGAGCUAACACUUAACUACUAUAGUGUACCACACAAGGAGAGAGCAGCAUUAGAGAGGGGUGCCACUUCCUCUGAUGGAAGAUAAAAAAGAAAGAUUGCCAGCCUGGGCAACAUAGUGAGACCCUGUCUCUACAAAAAAUAAAAAU